rnacentral:rRNA from 1 species
AGAGUGAACGCUGGCGGCAGGCCUAACACAUGCAAGUCGAGCGGCAGCGCGGGGGCAACCCUGGCGGCGAGCGGCGGACGGGUGAGGAAUACAUCGGAAUCUACCUUGUUGUGGGGGAUAACGUAGGGAAACUUACGCUAAUACCGCAUACGACCUGAGGGUGAAAGCGGGGGACCGCAAGGCCUCGCGCGACAAGAUGAGCCGAUGUCCGAUUAGCUAGUUGGUGAGGUAAAGGCUCACCAAGGCGACGAUCGGUAGCUGGUCUGAGAGGAUGAUCAGCCACACUGGAACUGAGACACGGUCCAGACUCCUACGGGAGCAGCAGUGGGGAAUAGUUGGACAAGUGGGGGACAACCCGUGAUCCAGCCAUCGCCG